CGGCCCGGCCCGGCCCUGCCGGCUGCAAACGCCCCGGUCCCCAGACAGGCACGGACCCCGUGUUGUUAUAUUGGAGUAGACAUAGGUGCCUCUGUAUACAAGAGUCGCUGAGAUUUUCAUGAGGGGUGGGAGCUGCGGGUGACUCUUCUCGGGCUUGGAUGUGAGAUUGCAGCAGUUCCUGCAUCCCCUGGUGUGACAGAGCUGGGAGAUGGAGGCAUGGAUGGAGACGGAGCGUCCUGUGCUCUGGGGGCUCCUCCAGCCCCUCCUCAGCCACAUGAAGCUAAGAGACUGUGGGGGCUCAGGUGCUAAGGCCCCUUCUCGUAGGCCUGCCUGCCUGGACUUUACAGCCACCACACGAUCGCACCAUAAAAUCCAGCUGCACUGCAGAGUCGUUGCAUCCAGUGCCCCUGGGCUGGGCUGGAGAGCAGGUCCCUGCCUGCUUUCCUAGAUGUGCAUCGGAGGAACGACGCCUGUAAUUCGCCCUUAUUCACUGUUCAUCUGACAUCUCAUAGUUCCUGAGUUGUUUGCAGGACAGCACCUCCUUUUUCCUCAGCCCCUUUCCAUGCAUGUCCAAAUGUCCCUGCCCGUCUCUUCCUCAAGUGGAUUUUUCUAAACCCGGGGUUUUCUCCCCCGCCUACUUCUGGACACUGAAGCCUGUCAGGUUCCUCCCAGAAUAAAUGUGUCGAGAUAGAUGGAGUCAAGGAGACCUGCAAUCGUGUACGGGGAGCCCGGGGGUGAGCUGCGAGGAUGCGUGCCAUUCAUGUGCCAGGCUGACGGGUGCAGGUAAAGACUCUGGAUCUGCAGAUAAUACAUGGAUCAGUUUUGUAGGAUGAACCUGCGCUGUACUCCGGUUUGUCCUUUGUGGAUAGGUUAGGCUGAUGUAAAUGGCAAUCGCCUCUUCCUGGAUCGAUACUGAAAUGCAGAGUGUCCCUCCAGAUCCUUUGUGUGAGAGAUCCUUCAGCUGAGGAGUUGCUCGGGUUAUCCCUGGCAGCCAAGUGUUUCUCUUUUCUUUUCUUUUCCCAAGAUGGGAGGUGUUUGCAUGCCUGGCUUGGUAAAACUCAACCAGAAGCCGUUCAGGAUUUGAGCAGUGAUGACUUGAAACCACGGCGAGCAGCGUGAGAACAGUGUACCGUGGCACGCACUGCAGACGCCUGCGCUGCUCCCCUUAGUCAGGGCAAGCCUCCGUUCACCAAAGAGGUUUCCUGACGGGAGGGAUUCAGUAGCCGAGACUUGCUGAGGACAUGGCCAGAUAAUGAGGGACCCUCAUCUAAAUACACCCAGUAGCAAAGGGUGUAGGCUACACCACUAAUAAAUCACUGUUACAUACCCCUCUCUAGGCAUCAACUACAGAAAUGAUCCCUGAAAGUACCUACUCAUAACCAUUGUCACCACAUACUCAAUGUAUGUUUAAUUGGUGCGGGCUCUUUUCCACCCCGCAGAAGGGCUGAGAAAUGAUGGUUCAAGUGCAGCUGGUUUUAUGAACCGAGGGAUUUACUGGUGCAGCCCUGGGUUCUCUUCAACCACCGGUUCCCCAACCCCCGUCGAGCCUAGUUUAAAGCUCUUGGGAGGAGAUCAGCCAAGCUGCGGGCCAACAGAUACUUACCUCUGGGGGAGAGAUGAAGAUCAUCAUCUCCCAGGAAGCCUCCUCCCUGCAAGUGCUGGUCAUGGCUGUAGAAUCCGAAGCUCUCCUGAAGACACCGACUCUGGAGCCGCCGGUUGACUUCUUUGAUGCAGGCACCCUGGCGUCUCUGGCUGCUGCCAACCAGAAGGAUGGAAGAAAAUACAACCUGUGCCCCAGUCUUCUUGAGGCUGUCUCCCAGUUCAUGGAAGUCCUUCAUGAUGCAGUCAGGGCUGGUCCUAGCCGCAUCGCUGGUUCCCACUUAUCCCAGAUCACCUGUUCCCUCUUAUCUGGGGUGACCUGUUUCUGCGCCUGGGCCACCCGUCAGAGUUCCUCCAAACUGGGGUUUGAACUCCUGCCCAGCUAGGCAAUCAGCAGGGAGUUCAAGUGCUUCCCUAAGGGGUGACCCUUCCUCCACUGGGAUGUUCUCUAAUUCCUCCCUGAGAGCCUCGGCUUCCUCUGCCACUGACUGACUGGGCUCCUCCCUGGGGCUGUCACUUAGCUUGACCCCGGGGUCAUUGGUUCCCUCAGCAGCCAGCUGGUUGCUGCAGUCAGGGGGUCUCUUCCUUAUCCCCCUCUUGCCUCCACAGCCACCUAGGUUACUUGGCUCUGGGCGGUUUCUCUAUCUCCCCUCCUCACCUUCUUGCUCUGCCAGCGAGUCACUACAUCAAUGCGGAUGGGAUCUAGGAUGUUUCCCCACGCUGCUCGCUUAUGCUCCAGCUCUGUAAUAUCCCUCCCCACCAGCAUGGGGGCAGGAGCAUUUUCCAUUGCUUCUAUCUCCACUUCCAGUCCCUCCACCAGAUGGGGAGACGUGCUACCUGUACUUUGGAUGGCAUGACAUUAAAAAAAACAGUUAAAAUAAAACAAAAUCAAAAUGUGGCACGUUU